UUUGAAAGUUGCCAUAAGUAGUAUAGUGUGAUGGCGUGCGGCGACAAAUUUUAACAUAGACUCCUAUAGGAACGAUAAAACUGGUUAAAUCACUCGAUAAGUAAUCCCUAAGCCGUAGGUAAACUCCCACCCCGUUGUAAGUACAUAAGUAAACAUCCAGCUCGCUGUACGUAAACAUUUAAAUAUCAGACCAUCGCAUGAAUUAAUCAAGCGCUUAGCGUCUAUCAUUUCGAAAUUAUAUUU